rnacentral:lncRNA from 1 species
CUCCUACAGAAGUUAUCCACAACCUCUUUGACACUCCAGCAUUUUCCAGGUAUUUUUGACUGCAACUGCAUAUAUGUGGUGUGAUGUCUCCACUGGUCAUGAUGUUUGUGAUGAAAGGUACUGUCUCAAUGGUUUCAAUGCACUCUAUUGUUGGUUAAACCUGGGUAAGUGAAGUUGAUAUCAGCACAAUUCCUUUAGCGUAGUACCAACAAAGAUGUUGGAAAGUGAGACUAAAAUUGCAUUGCAUGUUAGAAAGUAUAUGUAUAUUACCAUGUCAAAAUACUGCUGGGUAUCUUUGUUGCAUCAGAUGCAAUGUUUGACUGCAUAAUCUCAUGAAACCACUACCUCCUUCACACAGGCAUAGUCACUUACUUGCCUACGUUGACAGGUAUACCAGAUGACCUGAAGCUAGCCCACUGACCACCACCAAAACCACAACUGAUAGUGGACAGCAAUUAAAGUCUACUUUAUUCAUAGAGAUGAUGCAAUUUCUGGCUGCAAUGAAAACUGGAAUAACCUUUUACCAUCAAGCAGUUAAUGGUUUACUGGAACAUUUCUAUUGUUAUUGGCACUAAAAAUUCAAGCAGGCCUUCACUGGGUGGUGUGAGUGUCUAUGAUCUGCAGUGAAAGACAGAUAUAGAUACAUCCUAGCUGAAUCCUAUGUAGUAAGACCAUUAAAUUACCUGAAGAGAUGGUCACACCUGGCCAGUCUACCGUAAUAUCAGAUCCAUUAAACUAUAUAUAUAUAUAAUGACUGCAUGGAUAGCUGGUUAACAAUUAUCACUCAACUAUAGCAGACCACUAUACAAGUUCUGUAAGACCUCUCCAAAUGUCUUCAUGUUUUUUGUUUUUGUGGUGAGCCAACCAAGAAACUACUUCAGACAUUUUAUACAAGACCUUUUCAUAAAGUAUCACACAAGAUUUUCAAAUAUCUCAUUCCUGAUAUAUAUAUAGCAAAUGGAAAACUGAUAGCAUCGGCCAUCUGAAGCUAGCAAAUUUCAAAAGUGAUUCAACCACAGUACCUCAAGCAACAUUCACUGCAGUUUUUUCUACUAACCAUGCCUAUAUUGGUAUCUCUGCCAAUCAUCAGUACACCAGUUCUCCCGUCUUCUGUCCCAGUAAACAAAAAGCCCAAGACAGGAUGAUGUAACGACUGACCAGCCCAUUUUAUUUAGGACCUCCAUUCUCUAUAUUGAUCCAACUGAUUGCUGCUAUCCUUGCAAUAAAGGAAGGAACUAAUGUAAUAACUUAACUCAACUGCUUGUCACAAUUCUAGUUCAGUCUGUUAGUGAACAGUUUCUUAAAUGGAAUUAUUUCAAAUUCACUAUCUUCGCAUGCAUUAUUUUAAGCAAUAAAAUAAUUUAACCAGCCAAACAGUUUACCCAAAUAAAAAUUUUAGCCAAUCAGAAACUAAUAAUUUGUGGUGCCUAAUCUCAGUUAUGAAACCAGUCCACCUGCGACUGCCCUUGGUUCUGUGAUACAAACUGUCUCAGCAUAAUCUAAAUUAAAACCUUUUAUCAAGCUUUUCAUGUUAAUGUAGGCAUCAAGCUCCAACUUAAUACAGAGAGAGUUAUAAACAGAAUGCACUGAAACAAAAGCAUCUUAUUUCAACAGAUAUAUUCUUUUAUUCUUUUACUUGUUUCAGUCAUUUGACUGCAGCAAUGCUGGAGCACUGCCUUGAGAGGUUUUAGUUGGACAAAUUGACCCCAGGACUUAUUCUAUCAGUCUUUUUUGCUAGUACUUAUUCUAUCAUUCUCUUUUACUGAACCGCUAAGUUACAGGUCACAUAAACACACCAAUUCCGGUUGUCAAACAGUGAUGGGAGGACAAAUACAAGUACAAAGAGACACAGAUAUAUACAUAUACAUACAAUGGGCUUCUUUCAGUUUCUGUCUACCAAAUCCACUCACAGGACACUUGUCCAAGGUUCCACAUAUUGGGACUGAACCCCAAACCAUGCAGUUGGGAAGCAAGCUUCAUACUUCAUAUAAUUAUAUAGUAACAGAAAUGUUAAACAAGCGAAAAUUUGUUCAGUCAGUGGUUUUUAGUGCUAGGCUAUUUAGCAGCUGAAAUUCACAGAUUCUUUUUCCCACACACGCCAAGAAAUCAACCACUCAGAGCAGAAUUGGUUCUCUUUCAAUUACCUCAAAUCAUGUGACAAGCUGAAUAAGAAAUCCUCAACAACAUCUAUUUCAAUCAUUUUUGCAAAACACAUGUUAAUAUUUUGUCUUCUACUUUAAAGCUAUGAUUCACAAGCACACAAUACACAAGAAAUGAAGUGCUAUGAUUUUACAAAAUACUAUUUAAUGACAUUGAAAACAAAAAUAUAUAUAUAUAUAUAUAUAUAUAUGCAUAUUUUUCUGUUGCACAAUAUUUAACUGACUUUACAAACGGAAAGAUACUUUUGAACAUUAUUUAAUUGAGUUGAUAAAACAGUAAAAUAUAAAUAAACAUUGUCCAUAACAUAUUUCUACAAUGUGUAAUUGACUUAUUGAUGUAGAUAUUCACAAAAACAUUCAUGGAAAUUUGCUUUGAUUGAUGUUGCAAAUUAAGAUUGACUUCUGCGUUAACAAUGUUUGAAUUGUAUAGUUAACCUGUAUUCUAAAACCAUGCACUGUAUAAUUACUAUUGCAUUAUUUUCCCAAACGCAUUCAAGAUUUUUGUCCUUGUUUUUUAUUGGGGUUUGGAAAAUAGAAGGUGAAAUUAUAUGUGGCCAAUUUUUGUCGUUAUAGCUACAAACAUUCCUUUCAUUUAUCUACCUGUAUACACACUCGCACACACAUACAGAUAUAUAGUAUAUAUAUGUAUAUAUAAUGUAUAUUAUAUAUAUAUAAUGUAUACCACACACACAGAUAUAUAUAGAUAUAUAAACCAUGUACAGAUAUAACAUCAGCAAGGUGAGAGUUAACAAUGAGUACAUUAACAAAUAUAGCUUGAUGGUAUGGUCUACCAGAGUUCACUUUUUACCUUGUUCCUGUUUUUUUUUUAUAUAUAUAUUUUUAAGUCUUGGUGUCUUUGAGAAUUACAGUGACUUAAAUCUCAUAGCUGAAUCUGUGAUAGAAAUAGAGGAGAAAUUCCAGACCUGGUAACAAAAGCUAAAAUCAAGAAUCUUCAAAAUAAACUCAGUAAAGACUAAAGUAUUGGUAAGCAGGAAAGAAGAUAGGACUGAGGAUGGGGGAAGGGGGAAGCAGGUGUGAGUGGAUAAGUUCACAAGACUGUGAGAGGCGAGGGACAGGUGGUUAGUGGUUGAUAUACGAAGGGUAGGAAAUAUAAUAUGAGUAAAUUCUGGUGUCAUAUGAUCAUAUCAGCUGAAUGGUGUCAUUCUUAGAAGAGUGGAAGAACGCUGAGUUUUAAAAAGAUAAGUAUGAUAAGCAGAUUGUGUGCAGGUGCAGGGCCCAGAGAGUGUAUACAUAUAAACCUUUUAGGAGAUAAUUUUCACUGUAAGAGAUGUAACGUCUUCUCAAGCACAGAGAAACACUAAUCCUCUUGAUUCUUUGUCAUCUCCACUGUAGAUCAACCUUCAAUACUUCGUUUUGUGUCUUCUUGAGUCUCCCACUUCUGCAAAUUUCAUCCACUUUAAGCAUUCAGCACUUCUUUAUACAACUACCUUCAUCCUUACAUAUCACAUGACCAUAUCAGCACAGUUUUAUCUCUAAUAUACACAACAUCUGAUUCUUCUUAUGCCUAAUUUUCUCUUUCAGCACAUUUACAAUUUGUUGUACAAACACACUGACAAUGCACAUUCAACAGUGCAUAUUAGCUUCAUUUCUUUCCAGUCUUUGCUCUUCACAUGUUCUCUGCAUUCAGAGCCCAUAUCUCACUACCAGAUGUGAGCCCAUAUAUAUAUAUUUAUAUAUAUAUAUACACCCACAUACACAUACAUAUAUAAAUAUACAUAUAUCAUCAUCCUAAUCCUCAUCGUUUAACGUCCACUUUCUAUGCUGGCAUGGGUUGGACGGUUUGACUGAGGACCAGUGAGCCAGAAGCUGCACCAGGCUCAAUCUGAUCUGGCAAAGUUUCUACAGCUUGAUGCCCUUCUUAAUGCCAACCACUCCAAGAGUGUAGUGGAUGCUUUUACGUGACAUUGGCAUGAGGGCCAGUCAGGUGGUUCUGGCAACGACCAUGCUCAAAAGGUGUUUUUUACGUGCUACCUGCAUGGGAGCCAGUCCGGCAGCAUUGGCAACGACCACGCUCGAAUAUUGUUUUUCAUGUACCACUGGCACAUGUGCUGGUAGGGCGACGCUGGUAAUGAUCAUGUUCAAAUGUUGCUUUUCAUGUGCCACCAGCAUGGGAACCAAUCCAUGGUCCUAGCAACGAUCAUGCUCGGAUGUGCUUUUAGCAUUCCACUGGUAUGAAUGCCAAUCAGCCAUUGAUUUGUUUUCACAUGCCUCAAUAGGUCUGUCUUUGUAAGCAAAGUUCAUUGUCCAGUGAAUGAGGAGUACUCAUAAGUGGGCUGGUUACACCCCACAUUCAGAUGUGCUUUUAACGUUCCACUGGCACGAGUGCCGAUCAGGCAGUACUGUCAUCGGCCAUGUCAGCAAUUUUGAUUUUGAUUUCACUUGCCUCAAAAUCAAAAUUGCUCAUCAAUCUCUAACUGUGGAGGGAAUCUGCAGUAGAGGUAGACCCAGGAAGACAUGGCAUGAGGUAGUGAAGCAUGAUCUUUGAACUUUGGGCCUCACAGAGGUAUUGACUAGUGACCGAGACAUUUGGUGAUAUGCUGUGCUUGAGAAGACCUGUCAAGCUAAGUAAAAUCAAAGUCAUGGCGGAUGCUGGUGUCACAUGACUGACACCUGUACCAGUGGCACAUAAAAAGCACCUUUCAAGCAUUGGGCCUCACAGAGACAAAGUGGCCAAUGCCAGAUGCAUGUGAAAAGCACGUUUCAAGUAUUGGGCCCCAUGGAGGGAAUGAUGAAUAACCAAGACCUUUGGCAUUAUGUCGUGCUCGAGAAGAAGACCCAUCAAGCCAAAUAAAAUUGCAGUUGUGGCAGAUACUGGAGUCACACAAAUGGCACCCGUGUUGGUGGCACAUAAGGCAUCCAUUACAUUCUUAGAGUGGUUCUGUUAGGAAUGGUAUCCAGCUUUAGAAACCAUACUAAAUCAAACUGGGGUCUAGUGCAGCCUUCCAGCUUGCCAGCCCUGGUCAAACUAUCCAACCCAUGCCAGCACGGACAAUGGACGUUAAAUGAUAAGGAUGAUGAUGAUGAUAUAUAUAUAUAUAUAUAUAUAUAUAUAUAUAUAUAUAUAUAUAUAUAUAUAUAUAUAUAUAUAUAUAUAUAUAUAUAUAUAUAUAUAUAUAUAUAUAUAUAUAUACAUAUAUAUAUAUAUAUUCCCUUCUCUCUCUCUCCCUCUUUUACGUUGUCUGCCCCCCCCUCUUCCUUUCCCCCUUCCAUUGCUAAGAGCAUUUUUAAGCCAGCCCGUCAAGUUCAACCUUCGCAUAUUUGCCGUGUCAGGCCGAAAACGAAAUGUUCCCAAGAUAAGAAAAUCUUUCUAAUCUAAUUCAUCCCGUAAUCUGUACCAGUAAUAUUCUCAUGCAAAUUUGUCUGAUCUCUAGUGGUUAAGCUGUUUAUUAUUAUUAUUAUUAGUUGUAGUAUUAGUAUUAUCCCUUUGAUCCCCAGUCGACAAUUUGUUUAUUAUUAUUAUUAUUAUUAUUAUUAUUAUUAUUAUUUUCAGCUUCGCCUCGUAUUGCAUAUUCUGUAUAAUUUAUUAGUUAUUGUUGACCAUCGGUUUCCGGCCUCGUGUCUCGCUAAAUACAGAAUAGAUAUUUAAGUUUCUCCAUACAGGGGUUUUUCAAUGGUGGCCGAUUUUCGCGGGGUUCCACUAUUCCCUUCUCUCUCUCUCCCUCUUUUACGUUGUCUGCCCUCCCCCUCUUCCUUUCCCCCUUCCAUUGCUAAGAGCAUUUUUAAGCCAGCCCGUCAAGUUCAACCUUCGCAUAUUCCCGGUGCACCCGCCGUUGCCCACCCCCACCACCAAUACUGGAUAUCUCUAUAUUUUUGCUCCAUCUAUACCGGAUGUCGCUUCUCCCACCACCAUUAUAGGUGUCUACUCUUCGAACCCCCUCUUCAAUACGCUAUUUCACCAUGCAUUACCCCUCUCGUGAUAUCCUACGUUCUACUUGUCUAGAACCUGUCAUCGUUUCUCCGAACACCCCUCCCCACUGGUGCUCCCCUAUAUUUCUGCACCCUCCCCCCACAUAAAAAGCACCAUCCGAACGUGGCCGAUGCCAGCACCGCCCUGACUGGCUUCUGUGCAGGUGGCACAUAAAAAGCACCAACUGACCGUGGCCAAUGCCAGACCCCUCUGGCACCUGUGCAGGUGGCACGUAAAAAGCACCCACUACACUCGCGGAGUGGUUGGCGUUAGGAAGGGCAUCCAGCUGUAGAAACACUGCCAGACCAGACUGGAGCCUGGGGCAGCCCCUGGCUCCCCAGACCCCGGUCGAAACCGUCCAACCCAUGCUAGCGCAGAAAACGGACGUUAAAUGAUGAUGAUGAUGAUGAUGAUGAUAUAUAUAUAUAUAUAUAUAUACACACAUACACUCAUGAAGGUUGGCAUUAGGAAGGGCAUCCAGCUGUAGAAACACUGCCAGAGCAGACUGGAGCAUGGUGCAGCCUCCUGUUUUCCCAGACCCCGGUCAAAGCAUCCAACCCAUGCUAGCAUGAAAAAUGGACGUUAAACGCUGAUGAUGAUGAUGAUGAUGAAUACAAUUGGGAUAUGUAAAAAAAUGUUCCCAAACCACAACUUCCUCAUCAAGCAAGCAUUUCAGUAUGUUUUCAUAAGUAUUCAAUGAUAUUUCCCCAAUAUUUCAUCACCACAGUACACAACUAGAACUUGUUAAAGAAUUUAUUGUUGUUUUCUAUCAGAGAUUAAUCGUUCAAUGAAUGCGAAAAUAGUGUGUAAAUUGAAGAGAAAUAUCUCCAUAUUGAUUGAUAUUGGACUUGUAUCGGGACAGGUGGAGAAGGUGAGAGGGAAAGAUAUAUCUGGUGUCACUGCUGUGGCCUCUUCCAUGCCACAUUUCUGGAAAAACUGGGAGUAGGCAUUGGUGGUGAUGGUAUUUGAUAGCAGCAGCAGCAGCAGCAGCAGCAGCAGCAGCAGUAGUAGUAGUAGUAGUAGUAGUAGUUGCUGUUGUUGUUGUUGUUGUUGUGGCAGUAGAGGUUGCAAAACCGAGUGUGUAGUUUUCCAAUAAUUGUUUCUACCACAGUUAAUUUAUCAAAAGUGGAUACUUUAAAUACUUAAGGCCUGAUGUGACAGCAGAUAAAUGCAAGUGUUCAUUAUCAUCAUUAUAAUUACCAUCAUCAUCAUCAUCAUUGUAGACGUCACCAUCAAGAUCACCAGGGCCAUUAAUAUCAUUGCCAUCAUCAUCACUAUCAGUACCUCAUGGUCAUCAAUAUAACUGUUGCCAUCAUCAUUAUCAUCAAUAUCAUCAUCAUCAUCAUCAUCAUCAUCAUCGUCAUUAUCAAAGAAGCUUCUGUGAGACUGCAUAAGCUGGUAGACCUAGCAGCCCAAUUUAACCUUAUAUCACACCUACUAUCUUAAAAAGUAGUUAGAUUGGUUAAUGUAGUCCUAGAUACAGAAUACAUUUUUAAAAAAUGGAAUUGAGAUAGUUGGAAUACAUUUGGAUUAUAAUUACCUCAGAUUAAGUAACAUCAUCAUCAUCAUUGUCAUCAUCUUCAUUGUUGUAUGGCUGAAGACUGUAUUGUGCCAUAUUAUAUUAAUUUUUCCCAAUAUUCUCUUUAACUGUUGUCUAUAAGGUUUAGAAUCUAUAUAAAAUUACAGUGCUUUUGUUCUACCAUAGAAUGGAAAAGACACCAGUUCAAUCCAACAGUUGGAUAUCUUUAGUAAAUAACAAAAUAAUAUUUUCCAGUAACUUCUUUACCAGAUUAAUUUAUUUCUUGUCUAACCUGCAAUUACUUCUUCCGUUAAUUUUUUAUCUGAUUAUUUUUCAGUAUUAUAUUUUAUAUUAGCAUAAGCUUUUUGUUUUAUUUUGUUGCUUUUUUUCCUUUGCAUUCAGUUUAUCGUUAUUCCAGAGAAAUAAAUUCAUAAGAAAUUCAAAUAAUUUUGCCAAUGUUUUAUUACUGCUUAUUCUAGAAUCUUCAGUCAGUUUUACUCAUGUCAUUUUUGUCUAUUUGCUUCGAUUCUGUUUGCUUCUGAAGGUUACCAUUUCUGACAUGGAUCAAUGUAAACACAGUGGAUGAUCAGUUUCAAUCAAUAUUUUCAAGGUUCAGUUCUCUGUUUUAAAUAAUUUUUACUCUUUAUCAUCUUACUGUUGUUGUCUUUGUUUGUUUCUCUCAAUUCGAUUUUUAAUAGUUAUUUUGCACCACCUUUUGUUAAGAUGUUCCCUUAGCAAUCACAUGACCCCAGGUUUGAUCUAACAUCUCUGCAUCAUGGAUGAAUGUCUUUUACAAUGGCAUUGGCUUUAACAAUAUUUUUUGAGUGGAAUUUAGUAGAUAGAAACUAUGUAUGUGUAUACACAGUUAUACACUUAUACACAUCUCUAUAUGUGUAUAUGGAUGUAGACUGCAGACAGUUGUGUGUGUGUGUGUGUGUGUGUGUGUGCAUCUAUAUACAUGCAUAUACAUAUGUGUUUGUCUACAUCUAUAUUCUUACCUAUGUCUGUAUUUAGCCCUUUAUGUAAAAAAAAAUAAUAAUUUAGUAGUCAGAUAAAAAGAUACCAAUGAAAUAAGUACAAAAAUUAAAUCAAUUUGGGGAUCAAUAAUAUCCCUAAAACUUUUAAAGAUAGUACCCCAGAAUGAGCACAAUCCAAUGACAGAAACUAGAAAAAGAAUGAAAGAAUAAUGUUUUCUUGCAGCACCUGUAUCACUUUGUCAAAUCUUUUUUGUUUAAUAUAACCUUUGCAUGUUUUAAACCUAAAUGAAAUCUUUUGAACUGCCUCUGUUAUUUUACCGUCAUAUCUUUUUUAUUAAACAUCUACAUUUCCAACACAAUAUAAUGUUCAACAGGUUCCUUUCAGCACACUUGUCCUUUUAUGUUUGAUUAUAUUUUCCAAGUCUACAAACAUAGCAUUUGUCCAUUCAUUUUGAUCCUGCCUCAUCUUUGCUGUGAAAUCUAAGCCUCAGAUCUCACUUCACAACUUCUUACAUUUUCUUUGUUUCUCCUUGUCUAUAUGUAACCCCAGCUAUCAACCAACAACUCAUUUUUCACUCCAGUUCAAUAUACAGUGUAGCCACUCAUCAUGCAAGGUCCAUUUAAUGUCCAUCUACUUUGUUCUUUUCUUAAAUGACAUACUUCACCCAAUAGACCAUACUUAGAUCAAGUAACUCAAACCCUUGCAUCUCUUCUGUACAUGCUUUACUUACAUACUUCAACACAUCUCUUAUACAAAUCUCAUACAAUCAGCUCCAUGUACAGGAAAAAAAAAUAUCUUCAUCACAGCUAUGGAAAACAGUUUCAUAACCAUUUUUGUUUCUUUAUUACUCUAGCUACUAUACUUUUACACACACAAAACUAUAGACCUAGCAGCUGUACUUUUACUACAACCAACACCACAACCAAAUAUAUGACCCUAGCUGCUGUACUUUUGCUGUAACCAAUACUACAAUCUCAACUGCUAGACUUUCACAACAACCAACAAUACAGUCAAAAAUAUGACCUAAAUUGUACAGUUUAUUCAGCUCUCUUAAAUAUGUUCUGAUAAAACUGAUUCUUAACCUCUUCUAUGUAGUGCCCCCCUUUUAAGUUGUUGUUAUGGUAAGUAAGGUAUCACGACUAAACUAACUUAACAUGGAUGAUGAUUUAUAAACUUUACUCUAAAAAUGGAUUGUAUAAGCUUUUAACAGUGAAAUGAUAAAAAAAAAUUAAUAAAGAUGAAAGUUGUAUAUUUACUUUAUACAUUGCAAAUUAAUGAUUACCCUGUGCCUGAUGUGAUCUCAUUUUAUUUUGAUAACCAUUACUACAUGGUUCUGAGUUCAGCCCACUGUGUGGCACCUUGUGCAAGUGUCUUCUCCUACAGUUUUGGGCCGACCAAAACCUUAUGAGUGGAUUUGUUAGAAAGAUUCAGAAAAAACCCGUCAUAUAUUUGCGUGUGUGUGUGUGUGUGUCUGUUUUGUGUCCGUGUUUGUCCCCCACUACCACUUGACAAAUAGUGUUAGUGUGUUUAUGUCCCAGUAACUUAGAGGUUCAGCAAAAGGGGCUGACAGAAUAAGUACCAGGCCUAAAAAAAAAUAAGUACUGGGGUCAGUUCAUUUGACUAAAAAUUCUUCAAUAUGGUGCCCCAAUAUGGCCACAGUCUAAUGACUGAAACAAGUAAAAGAUAAAAGAGAAAAGAUUACUAGUUAUAGGUCAUAUAUCAUAGGGCACAGGGUAAUUAACAUAAUUAUGUUACCCCACCACUCCCUAAAGUCUAAGACCUCAUUUGACCUGUCCACUGCUCACUUGGGGGUGGUACCAACUACAUUGAGAACCUCUGUAUUAAAAUAUGAGAGAAAAUAUUAAACAUAUGAUAGUUAACAGUUGGUUAAAUAAAAGAUGGCUGAUGCUGGAAAAUUUUUCAGGUAAUUUUUGUUUUAAUAAUUUUGAGGAGAAGACUUUCAAUCUCUGUAGGAAUUCUUUCAGAUAUGGGAUUGGUUUUUCUUCAAUAAUCUCUUCUGUUUUAUGCUCUCUCUUAUAGGAACAGAACAUGUUUAUCAUUGAUAGUGUGUAAACACAAGCAGAGUGGAGUGUGAACAGGAACAUGGUAUAUUGUAGUGUAUAAUAGGGUAAACAUUAAUAUCAUUUUAUGAAAUAGAUGUGUUUGUGUUAUAAAAGGGAGAUGUUUAAAUGGUUGUAUUAUAUUAUCUAUAUAUUAAAUACUGUUAGAAUGGAGGACUAUGCAAAAUGUGAAAAAAUAUAUUGGAAGCAUAUCUUAAAUAUAUUUCGUUUGAUCAAACAUCAUAUUAAAGAGGGAUAGCUCCCAGCUCAGUCCUGAUAGAACAGACCUCUGAUUAAUACCAAUCCAACCAUGACUGCCUCAUCAAGAUCACAUCCAAAGUGAUCUUCUCUUUUUAAAAGGACAAGUGUGAUUUAAGAGAAUGUGGUUGUCAUUUUUAGCAGACCAAACACUCACAUUUGGUCAUUGGUUGUUCUGAUGAGCCGUGUUUGAAGAAACCUAUGACAUGGUCAAACAAUCAGAACUAACAAGCUAACCUAAUUUCACAGACAUGAUCAACUCCUAUUUGUCUUUAUUUACCAUGGAAACAUAUUUUACUGAGCAAACUUUGUUAGCUCUAAUCUCACUAACAAAUACCAAAAGAAAAUGUAAGUGAAAUAUUUUGUAGCUUUCCUUGACUAUAUCGCUAUUAAUGAGAAGACAAAAUAGAGUUUGCUUCCAUAUAAUUCUUCUUUCUUCACUAUGAGGGUUUCAAUCUUCACAGCUCAAUUCAGAGCUCUUCCCUCAGCUCAUGGGAAACACUGUACAAACUUCCUCAAUAGCUUUACAAUCAACAUCUUCAAAUGUCAGGAGCUGUGUGUGUACAUGUGUGCGUGCAUGCAUGUGUGUGUGUGAGUGAGUGAAUGAAUGCAAAUAUGUGUGAAUGUUGACAUCUCUUGGCUUGCCUUGAGCCAAAAGGUCAUAUGGUAAUUAUAUUCUUUGUUGACAUUAAGACCAGUCACUUACAGUUUUCAAAUUUCUGUGGCAUAAAAAAAAUUAUUUACAUGUAAAACAGGUAUGGGUUAGUGACAGGAAGGGCAUCCAGUCAUAAAAAUCAUGCCUCAAAUACAUCUCCAUCUAACCCAUGCAAGCAUGGAAAAACAGUUGUGAAACAAACGAAGAGAUAAACAAAUGAAAUAGUUCAGAUACUAGGGAUCUUUGCAUAGGCAUAGGAGUGGCUGUGUGGUAAGCAGUUUGCUUACCAACCACAUGGUUCCAGGUUCAGUCCCACUGCGAGGCAUGCCUCAGGCCGACCAAAGCCUUCUGAGUGAAUUUGGUAGACGGAAACUGAAAAAAGCCCGUCGUAUAUAUGUAUAUAUAUUUAUAUAUAUAUAUAUAUAUAUAUAUAUAUAUAUAUAUAUAUAUAUAUAUAUAGGCAAGUGAGGAUCAGAAUCGAAAUCGAUCAAUGGAAAUUGCAGAUGAGUUACCAGUGCCGGUGACAUGUAAGAGAACCAUCCGUUCAUGACCGUUGCCAGCGCCGCCCCGACUGGCCUCGUGCCAGUGGCAUGUAAAAAGCACCAUCCAUUCGUGGCCGUUUGCCAGCUCUGUCUGGCAUCUGUGCGGGUAGCACGUAAAAAGCACCCACUACACUCACGGAGUGGUUGGCGUUAGGAAGGGCAUCCAGCCGUAGAAACACUGCCAGAUCUGACUGGGCCUGAUGAAGCCUUCCGGCUUCACAGACCCCAGUUGAACCGUCCAACCCAUGCUAGCAUGGAAAACGGAUGCUAAACGAUGAUGAUGAUGAUGACGAUGAUAUAUAUAUUUGUGUGUGUAUGUAUAUAUAUAUAUAUAUAUAUAUAUAUAUGUGUCUGUAUACGUUUGUGUAUCUGUGUUUGUCCCCCAACAUUGCUUGACAACUGAUGCUGGUGUGUUUACAUACUCGUAAGUUAGCGAUUCAGCAAAAGAGACUGAUAGAAUAAGUAUAAGGCUUACAAAGAAUAAGUCCUGGGGUUGGUUUGUUCGACUAAAGGCAGUGCUCCGUCAUGGCCACAGUCAAAGAGUAAGGUAAAACAUGAAGACAUGUUGUUAGGUCACGGUAUUUUAGAUGAAGCACUUCCUCAUUUGUAUUUCACAGUUUCUUUUUAUGAUGAUACUAGAUUCUGCCAGCUUGCUGCCUUUGAUAACUAAUAAUGAUAAUAAUGGUUCCAAAUUUUGUCACUAUGCCAGCAAUUUUUACAAGAAGUGAGUUAAUUAAUUGCAUCAACCCCCAGUACUUCUCUGAUACUUUAUUUUAUCAAUCCCAGAAGGAAGAAACACAAAGUUGACCAUGGCAUGAUGUGGACUCAGAACUGGAAUAAAUACAGCAAAGCAAUUUUUCUGCUAAUUCACCAUCCAUUGUUGAGUAAAUAUAACAAGAAAAAUGUGAAGCAAACUCAAUGAAUUACUAUUAGCUAAAUGACCCUCUCAGGAUAACAGUAAAAUAACUGUUUCAUUGUUAAGUUGAUGUUAAGAAACAGAAUUUAAUGAAAGAGGUACAGCUAUGUCAGAGGAAGGUUAACUGGGAAACUAGUUUUUGUGUGUGGAAGGUGCACAGGUACAAUAAACACUAAAAAUGUAAAGGAAAUAUACUCCAUCAACCGCCAGAGGGGGUAAGCUAGAGGUAGCAGAUAGCUUCUGUUGUCUAGGUUACCAAGUCAGUAACAGAGGUAGGAUGCUCUGAGAUAUAGUUGCUAAAAUAAGAAUAGGUUGGGAAAAGUUCAGAGAACUUCCACUUUUCUUGGUUUCAAAGGCUUCUCCUUCAGAGUGAAUGGCAGAUUGUAUGAUGCCUGUAUGUGAACAGUCAUGCUACAUGGUAGUGAAACAUAGGCUGUGACUGCAAAGGAUAUGUCCAGGCUUGAAAGAAAUGGAGCUAGUGCACUUCGCUGCAUGUGCAAUGCCAGUGCUCAUGUACAACAGAAUGUAAAUGUUUUGAGAGUAAAGUUGGGCAUAAGAGGUAUCAGAUGUGGUGUGUAAGAGAGACGACUGCAUUGAUAUGGUCAUGUGAUGUGUAUGGAUGUGGAUGUGAACAGCUGUGUGAAGAAGUGCUGAUCUCUACCACUAGAAGAAAGCUGUGUGAAGAGGGAAAUCCAGGAAGACAUGGGAUGAGGUGGUGAAGUAUGAUCUUCAAACACUGGGCCUUGCGGAGGCAAUGACUAGUGACUGCCACCUUUGGCGAUAUGCCAUGCUUGAGAAGAUCUGUCGAGUCAAGUGAAAUCAUAGCCAUUGUCAGUGUCACAUAACUGGCACCCAUACCAGUGACACGCAGAAAGCACCUUUUGAGCACUAGAGCAUGUGUGUGUGUGUGUGUGUGUAUCCUCCUCCUCUUCAUCAUCAUCAUUUAAUGUCCAUCUUCAAUGUUUCAACACUGGCAUAAAUUGGAUGACUCGACAGAAAUUGACAAGCCAGAGAAUAAUGUCAAGCUCCAAUGACUGACAUACACAUAUGCACACAUACACAUCCAAUGACAUACACACCUAAUAACACAAAUACACACACACACACACACACGCAUUCAUAUGUAAGCGUGAGUGAUCACUAAGUUCCAAUGUAAUCAAUCUAAUCUAUUUAAUUCAUUACUACUGAAUGUAAAACCUUUGUUCAAGAAUCUUCAUCUGGCAACAAAAGCAGCAGCAGUAGCAACAGAAACAGCAGCAGCAGCAGUAUUGUAGAUAAAGAGAUAACCUAGUUUAAUUAUAUCAAUAAAUUCUCACAAAUAUUUACAAGAUCACUUUAACAGAUUCCGCUACUAACAUCAACAGAUAAGUCAUUGAUUUGUGUCUUAGACACAAGAAUAAUUUUCACAAAGGAACCAUAUUCUUUUAGUGGCUUCAGUGUUUGGACUGUGGCCAUGUAGUGGCACCAUCUUCAAGGGGUUUCAGUCAGUGAUAUCGACCCCAGUAUUUACUGAAAGUCUACUACUUAUUUUAUUGAUUAUUAUUUGUUGAUUGGCUCAGUUAGAUUCUUGAUAUAGCACUGGUUUUGGCAAACAGCAGUAUAGUAUCAAAGACAUAGACACAAACGUGCAUACACACACACACACACACGCACGCACACACACAUGCACACACACACACACACACACACACACGCACGCACACACACAUGCACACUUUCACUUACACAUAAACAUAUAUUCACAUACAGACCCACACAUACACAUACGCAUACAUACAUGCAUAUCAUCAUUAUCAUCAUUAUCAUUUAAACAUGUUUUCCAUGAUUAUUUUUUCAUGAUUAUUUUAACCAGAUGGAGUGUGUCGAGACACAUUUUCUAUAGCUGGAUGCACUUUCUAUUACCAACCUUCACUCAUUUCCAAGCAAAGUAAUAUUUCCUUAUGGCAGAACAUAUUUUAAGGAAGACUGGAAACAAAAGGCAUCACUAGUAUGACAAAGAUGCUCAUAGUCAGUUAAUUGGUAAUAUCAUGCUGCACACACCUACACCCACAUGAACACAGAUAUAUGUAUGUGCAUGUGUGUGGGGGAGCAUGUGUGUGUGGGGGGUCAUGUGUGUGUGUGUGAAUAAGUAGUGAUAUUAAUUUCUAUCAUGGCAUAUUGAAGAUGAUUAGUCUUUUAUAGGUUCAGCACAUUAAUCUGAAAUGAUUGAUUGUCUUACCUAUCAUGUGAGUUUUGAACAUUGGUUGAGUCUUGUUCUUUGAUUGGUUGAGUAUUGCAUGGGAUAUGGAUCAAAGAUCCAAUCACACUGCAUGUAAUGCAUUCUCAAAUAACUAAUCUGCAUGCAUUCUGGAGCCUACUCUCCUUCUAUAAAUUGUUGUAACAAAUCAUUUAUGAGGAGAGAGGUGAGCAACUUUUAUGAAUGUGACUCGUGUUAUUUUCCUGCCAUUAUUCACCAGAGGAAAAAUUAAUAUAAAAGAACACAUGUAACGAAUGACAGCCCAAGCUUAAUUAUCCAAACGAUGGAUGAACUAUACAGCCACCAGAAUUUGUGAUGUUUUAUUUGGUCCACUGUACUAUUUAAGAGAAGAAUAAAGUCUUGCUGUUAUUUUUAAAGAGCGUUUCUUGUAUUAUUUCCAGGAGUGAACACACAACAUAUAUUACAUAAUGGUAUGCAAGGUGGCAAACUGGCAGAAAUGUUAGCACGCUGGGCAGAAUGCUUAGUGGUAUUUCAUCUGUCUUUACUUUCUGGGUUCAAAUUCCACCGAGGUCGACUUUGCCUUUCAUCCUUUUGGAGUUGAUAAAUUAAGUACCAUUUACGCACUGGGGUCAAUAUAAUUGACUUAAUCCGUUUGUCUGUCCUUGUUUGUCCUCUCUGUGUUUAGCCCCUUGUGGUUAGUAAAGAAAUAGGUAUGCAAUAUUCUGUAGUAAAACUAAGCAAGGCUUAAUACCACCCUUUAAAACUGCUGACCCCAAACGAGAAACAACCUUAUAUAUAUAUGUAUGUAUAUAUAUAUAUAUAUAUAUAUAUAUAUAUAUAUAUAUAUAUAUAUGUAUGUAUAUAUAUAUAUAUAUAUAUAUAUAAAGACAGGUGCAUUUAUGCAGCACUGACAUAGGUGCAUUAAUACUGCACCAGCAUGAGUGCUUUUUAAGUGGCACCAGCACCUGAAAGGAGAAGCCUGUAUGUAUGGAUGACAGUGAUUUUACUUAGCUUGACAUGUCUUAUCAAGUACAGCAAAUCACCACAUCUCUUGGUCCCUUGUCAUUUCCUCAGUGAGGCCCAGCAUCUGAUGAUUCUUUCACACCACUUUGUCCCACAUCUUCCUGGGUUGACCCCUUUCACCGGUAUCCUCCACAAUUAGAGCUCAGCUCUUCUUUAUGCAGCUGUCCUCAUCCAUACACAUUACAUGACAAAACUAGUGCAGUCUUCUCUCUUGCACACAUCUGAUGCUUCUUAUACCCAAUCUUUCUCUUAAAACUCUUUCACUCUGUUGCACAUGCACACUGACAUUGCCCAUCCAGCAGAGCAUGCUAGCUUCAUUUCUUUCAAGCUUUCUCAAGUCCUCUGUAGACAAAAGCCUAUGUUUCACUGCCAUAUAACACAGCUGUACGUACACAGGCAUCAUACAAUCUACCUUUCACUCUGAGGGAGAAGCCCUUAGUGACCAACAAAGGUGGCAGCUUUCUGAGCUUCACCCAUUCCAUUUUUAUCCUAGCAACUACACCUUCAAAACUCCCUCCCUCACUGCUAACUUUAUCCCUUAGGUAACAGAAGUUAUCUACUACUUCUAAUGAUCCACUGAAGCAUUUAGGAGAGCCUAUUGUCUGCAUAUUUGCGGCGCUUAUUGUACUUGCACAUUUACCACAUUCUCCAUUAACCUUCCUUUGAUACUGCUGCACCUCUUAUAUGUCCAAAGCUUGCAUUGGGUACAAUGGACGGAGUUUCUACCAACACCCUUCUUACAUAUAUUAUGCAGGGCCAUCUCCCAGAAAGGAUUUGUGAUUUAUCUAUUUUCAUAUUUACUAGGACUUCGGUUUUUGCUGGGUUCCAGACCUUUUCACACCUGAAAUUUCUUCUCUAUAUCAAGUAGUAAUUCAGCUAUGAGAACAAGGUCAUCGGUGUAGAGGAUUUUCCCAACCACAUGAUCCCAGGUUCAGUUCCACUGCAUGGUAUCUUGGGCAAGUGUCUUCAACUAUAGCCUUGGGUCAACCAAAGCCUUGUGAGUGGAUUUGGUAGACAGAAACUAAAAGAAGACCAUUAUAUAUGUGUGUGUGUGCAUGCAUGUGUGCAUGUGUAAGGGCUGUUAAGCCAUAACAAGGUGAAUAUAUAUAUAUAUAUAUAUAUAUACACACACACACACACACAAAAGGAUAAAACCACUUUAAUGAUUUUAUCAAGUGGCCAGCAUGUAUUAAAACCAUACAGGUAACAAUUUAUACAAAUAUAUUAUUAUAUAAUGAAAUUAUAUUAAAGGGUGUGGAUAAACCCCACCUACACACUAGAAAUAGAUGCUAAAUGGCUCUAAAAACUAUAUCUACACUCCAGUAGCACAGGUUGUAAGCAGGCAGAUGAAUAAAUGAAUAAAAAAAUUUUUUUAAGGCUCAUUUUAGAUCAAUUUCUGGCUUAGGGUUGUAAAACUCCUAACUGUCAUCAGUAUAACAUGCAAAUAGUAUAUAAAUGCAAAUAUUUAUACAUACCCAAAUGAACAAAUUAGAUUUAAAUAGUGUAAAUGCAUGUAUAUAAUUGUGCAGAUAUAUGUUACUCGUAUAGGUAUGUAUAAAUAUCUGCAUUUAUAUACCUAAGCCGGAAAUCGAUCUGCAAUUAACCGUUUUUAAAAAAAUCUUAUUUAUUUAUUCUUAAAGGUAGUACUCCAGCAUGGUCGCAGUCAAAUGACUGAACCAAGUAGAAGAAUAAAAAAAUUCAUUCAUCUGCCUGCUAACAACCUAUGCUAAUGGAAUGUAGACAUGGUUUUAGAGCCUUUUAGCAUUUGUUUCUAGUUGUGUUGGUGGGGUUUAUCCACACCCUUUAAUAUAAUUAGAUAUUAGUAUAUAUAUAUGUAUAUAUAUAUAUAUAUAUAUAUAUAUAUAUAUAUAUAUAUAUAUAUAUAUAGAUAGAUAGAUAGAUAGAUAGAUAGAUAGAUAGAUAGAUAGAUAGAUAGAUAGAUAGAUAGAUAGAUAGAUAGAUAGAUACAUAGAUAGACAGUUAGAUAGAUAGAUAGAUACAUAGAUAGACAGUUAGAUAGAUAGAUAGAUAGAUAGAUAGAUAGAUAGAUAGAUAGAUAGAUAGAUAGAUAGAUAGAUAUAUGGAUGUAUAUGGGUGCAUGUGUGUGUGUGUGUGUAUUAAGACUACCAUUGGCUUCAUGUUAAGAAAAAUAUCUUAACAGCCUAACAAUUUUUUAAACCGUUCACAUGGAGACAAACACCACUCCUCCAUGUGAUUGUCUAGAAAAAGUGGGAAGAUAUUAAGAUAUUUUUCUUAAUAUGAAGCCGGUUCAGUUUGCACUCAUUCACUUCUUAAUUAUUUCCUAAAAUUUUCGCUGCAUCUUGCAACCUUUUCAAUAGUCGUUCAUUCUGUCUAUUCUGUGAGCUGUGUUCUUUUGGUUUGUUUAUGCACACAUGUGUGUGUGGGUCAUUAUGUGUGCGCAUACACAUAUAUAUAUGUAUGUACAUAUGUAUGUAUGUGUGUGUGUGUGUGUGUAUGCAUGUAUGUGUGUAUGCAUGUAUGUGUGUAUGUAUGCAUAUAUAUAAAUGUAUGUAUGUAUGUAUAUAUGUAUGUAUGUAUGUAUGUAUCAUGUAACAACUUCACUGAUGAGCUACAGAUGAUUACGUUAGCAAUCAUUGAUAGCGAAAUUUUAUGGAGUUAAUUGCUUUAUUUUGUCUCCUUUCAUUUGUCUUGCUCACAUACACUCUGGUGUUUGCAAAAAUUUUUCAGAACAUAUUCUUCAUGGUCAGAUGAUUUGGCAUUUUCUUCUAGCAUAUUGGUGGCUAUUCCUCCUAUUUAUAUAUGUAUGUGCAUAAGUUUGUAUGGAUUCUGCAUAUUCAUGUGUUUGUUUGUUCGUGUUCAUGUGUUUGUGUGUGUGUGUGUGUACCUCUGUCUCCUUGUGUAUACAUGCCUGAGUGCGUCUGUGUAUGGGUUUUUGUGACUAUGUAUGUGUGUCUUUUACAUAUGGAUGUGUGUCUCCAUAUGCGUCCUUGUGUGUAGUGUGCAUGUGUGUAUAUGGUCAUAUGUUUCAGUCUUCAUUUGCAUAUGUAUGUGUGUAUGUGUACGUGUCUACUUAUAUUACCUAUGUACAUGUCUAUCUAUAAGUCUAUCUGUUUACAUCCAUAUCCAUUUACUUAUAUGCAUAUACAUAUAUAUAUAUAUAUAUAUAUAUAUAUGUAUAUGAGUAAACAUUAGCCGGUGUUUAUUCAAAGCAAUGAAUAACUUAUAAUGAAACCAUGGUAUACUUUGUUUUCUGACUUUCUAAUUAUCUCAUAAUAAUGACUUUUAUGACUUUUAUUACUACCUCAGUCCAUCUAAAUGUAUAUAUCUGUCGUUACCUUUCAUAAAAAGCCUUUUCUUUUUUUUAUUUACAAUGUACAUUUUCAUUGAUUUUUCUUAUUUUCCCCUUACAUUUCCACGUGUAUUUUAUAUUUUCUAUUUGUAACAUAUUUCUACUAUAUAUAUAUAUAUAUAUUAAUAUAUAUAUAUAGAUAUAGAUAUAUAUACAUAUAUAUACGUAUAUAAAUACAUACAUAUGUACACACGCACAAACACACAUAUAUAUACAUCUACAUAAAAACCCGUUAACUAUUCUAUUUGUAUAUAUACAUAAACUGUGAGUAUAGGGGUAUGGUUAUCUACUAUGCAUAUUUCCUCUUUAAUACUGGGUACUGGGGAUGUUUCAUUUAUGAUGUUUCUCCUGUAUUUACCUAAGUGUUGGGUCCUUCGGGUGCUUCAAUAAAAUGCUGAUGUCAUGUUGACCCAGGUUGCCUCUAUGUUGGUAGAGUAUGGAAGACUGUUUUUUGUCAUCAUAUUGUCUCAAAUGUUCAUUUAGUUUUUCCACAAUCCUCCUAGAUGUCUCAUCUAUGUAUACCAUGUUCUUGUCUUUACAACCACCUUCUAUGUACCUUACACAGUAGACUACAUUUCUAGUACAUCUAGAAAUGUAGGCUGAACUCUCGGCUCUCCAAUGUCUCUGAUGCUGCAAAGACAUUAUAAUAAAACUGGCUGACAAGGAUGGAGCCAUGAUGGUGUGGUAAGGCUGAAGCUUUCCACCAACUUCAAGACACCUCCUUCUACUGCCCUCUGCCCUCCAACCCUAUGCCUAGCAACUAACAAACGGUGUCCUCCACUAUCCAUGACCUCAUCUCCUCCUCCAGCCUCCCUUCCUCCACCCCCAACCUCAAUGUCCACACUCCUUCCAACCCCACCAUUUACUUUCUUCCCAAUAUCCACAAACUCUGGCUGCCCAUCAUCUCCACAUGUAACUGCCAUGGAACUCAUCUCUAAAUACCUCGACCAUGUCCUUGCCCCCUAGUGGCUUCCCUUCCCUCACACAUCCACAACACUAACCAUGCUCUUUGUCUUUUCAACUCUUUCUCCUUCCCUCCUGGCCCCUCUAAAUGUCUCUUCACUCUUGAUAUCAAGUGUCUAUAUACGGUGAUCUCACACUACGAAGGACUUGUUGCCCUCAAACACUUCCUAGACCUUUGACCCAAACUCCUACCUGACACAUCCACACCUCUUCAUCUGGCCGAACUUGUUCUCUCCCUCAAUUGCUUCUUGUUCGUAGGGAAGUUUUACCAACAGAUCUCAAGAGUGGCCAUGGGAAUGAGAAUGGGCCCGAACUAUGCAAACCUGAGGCCCAAAUAUUUUCAAGAUUCACUAGUCCCACUCCCAAACUAUACGGUCGUUAUAUUGAUGAUUGUAUUGGUGCAACUUCACUCUCCUGCGAACAACUAGACUCCUUCCUCUCUUUUGUCCAAUCCUUCCAUCCUAUCUUCGAAUUCUCCUGCACCAUUUCCAACACUUCUGUCGCCUUUCUCGACAUUUCAGCCAACAUAUACAACUCCACUCUCACUACCUCCAUCCACUACAAAAACACUGACUCACACUCAUACCUCAACUUUUCUUCCCACCCUACCCACACCGAGCUCUCCAUCCCCUACUCCCAAUUCCUCUGUUCACUCUCUCCCUGCACCUGCCCCACCAUUACCCCUCUCCCAUUUCCCCUCACCUACCACGCCUCCACCCUGCCUCUGUAAUGCACCAUUCUCUGAGCCUUCCAGCGCCUCCAAUUCCGACUCCUCCACUUCACACAUCUUCUCCAACCUACCCCUCCUUCAAAUGAGCCCACAAUCUACAUGACCUCCUGAUCCACAGUUUCUUUCCUAACCCCAGCUCCCAACCUGACUCAUUCCCCUGCUCCCACCCAUGCUGCUGUACUUUCCCCUACCUCUCCAACACCAUCAUCCUCACAGGCACCCACCAUCAUCCCUGUCAUAUCACUGACUCCUCUUUACAUGCACUUCUAGCAACAUCAUUUACUGCAUCUCCUGCUCUUUCUGUCCUUCUCUGUACAUCAGUCAAAUGGGAUGCCACUUGGCUGACUGGUUCACAGAGCACCUCCAAAACAUUAGACUCAGCAAUGACACCCUGGUUUCAUGCUAUUUCCACUCUACUGGUCAUUCCUUACAGCCCCUAGCUGUGUUUAAAUUGUCUUUGUAUAGGAGCCAUCCAGACUCCUGCCUUCGCAUGGAAUUAAUCUUCUCUCUUUGCUCCUUUGCACCACAUGGGCUCAACUCCCCUACCCUCUUCAUCUGAAUCCCCUCCUCUCCUCUCUUCAUCUCACACCUAAUUCCUCUCUUCACUCCUACCCACCUCUCCUCUCCUCUCUUGCCCUGACACCUACUUCCUCUCUUCACUCCCACCCACCUUCUUCCUUCGUUGGUCCCCUCUCCAUCCACACCCCACCCCUACAGAUAGAUAGUGUCGGGGAGUGAACUGAUACCCUCACACAUGACUGUCAGUGGACUGUAUGAGUCUUAUAACAGAUGAGCCAGUAGACAGUUGUGGUUGAACCGUAAGAGUGUUAGUCUCGUUAUUGAUUCUUCAUUGGGAGUAUUGGAUUGCUGUUGUGCAAAUGGUUAUAAGUAACUCUUGUUACACUGCUUUUGUUAUACAGUUAUAUUUGAUACUGUGAUAUAUUGUUACACAUCAUAAAUCAUCACUAACGAUAUAACAGAUAGAUAGAUAGAUAGAUAGAUAGAUAGAUAGAUAGAUAGAUAGAUAGAUAGAUAGACAGAUAGACAGGUAGAAAAGUAAAUAGGUAGGUAGAUAGACAGGUAAAUAAACACAUAGACACAGACAGACAGAUAAGCUGUUAGAGUGACAGAUAGACUGACAGACAGGCAGACAGACAUAAAUACAUACAAUACAUACAUGCAUACAUUACACACACAGUCACACACACAUGCAUAAAAAUACAUUCAUCUAUACACCCAGUUGCUUACUUAAAUUUAUUUCAUUAUUAAUAUUUUAUUGAUAAAAAGGUGGUGAAAUGGCAGAAUUGGUAUCACACCAGAAAUAAUGUUUAGUAGCAUUUCUUCUGACUUUGCAUUUUGAAUUCAAAUUAUGCUGAGGUUGACUUUACCUUUCAUCCUUUCAGAUUCGAUAGAAUAUGUAUCAGUUGAGCACUGUGGUCGAUAUAGUCAACUUACCCACUCCCACCAAAAAUUACUGACCUUGUGCCAAAAUUUGAAACCAAUAUUAUUUCAUUGACCCAGUAACCAGGGAAAUGAAAAACGUAAUUAACACAAACAGGGAUUGAACUUGCCAUGUUAUUGAAUGAAAGUGGUGAAAAUAGUAGGAUGAAAGCAAAUAUACCUAUUUCUUUACUACCCACAAGGGGCUAAACACAGAGAGGACAACAAGGACAGACAAAUGGAUUAAGUCGAUUGUAUCGACCCUAGUGUGUAACUGGUGCUUAUUUAAUCGACCCCGAAAGGAUGAAAGGCUAAGUUGAACUCGGCGGAAUUUGAACUCAGAACGUAGCGGCAGACAAAAUACCUAUUUCUUUACUACACACAAGGGGCUAAACAUAGAGAGGACAAACAAGGACAGACAAACGGCGACCCCGAAAGGAUGAAAGUCAAAGUCGACCUCGGCGAAAUUUGAACUCAGAACGUAGCGGCAGACGAAAUACCGCCAGGCAUUUCGCCCGGCGUGCUAACAUUUCUGCCAGCUCGCCACCAGAUGAAAGUAAAUACCACGAGAUAUUUAGCCCAGUUUAUCAUCUACAGUUAUGAUUUCAGUUUGAUCAAUGAAGGUGAACUACUUUCAAUAUAUUUUCUGUGGGGAAAUACAUAAAUAAAUUGUAUGCUUUAACUGAAACAAUUUUAUUUUUUGUUGUGGAUUUAUGUAUUUGCAACCUAAUCCUGUUAAACUUUCAGUGACUGUUUUAGAGAACUACUACUAAUUCUAUCGUUAGGAACAUAAACUAGUGCUGGAAUCGGUGGGAGAGAGGUGGGCUGUAGAAUAACCUGACAGUUAUAUUAUCAUCUUCAUCAUCAUUUAAUGUCCACUUUCCCAUGCCUGCAUGGGUCAGGCUGAAUUUGUUGAAGCAGGUUUUCUUCUGUCCGAUGGUUUUCCUUUCGCCAAGCCUGACUUGUUUCCAAACAAGGGAAUAUUCCCAGAUGAGCAAAUAUGUCUUUCACAGAAGACUGGAACCAAACAUUGUUUGUAUAAUGACGAUGCUCAUUUAUAACCAUUACGUGAUAUUCACACACACACAUAUGCACACACAUGCAUGCACAUACACACAGAAACACCACACACACACAUGCACUCACACACACACACAUACACACAUAUUCCCGCACACACACACACAGACACACACACACAUGCACAAACACACAGACAUAGACACACACACAAACAAGGGGCUUCUUUCUCUUUCUAUCUACCAAAUCCACUUACAAGGCUUUGGCCAGCCUGGGACUGUAGUGGAAGACACUUGUCCAAGAUGUCUGCACACCAGGACUGGACCUGAUAUCAUGUGAUUAGAAAGUAUAUUUCUCAACCAGACAGUCACACCUGUACCGACCUGAUAUGCAACUGAAAAUCUAUUGCACCAAAACCCGACCACAAAUAGAUGCACCAACCUCCACACAAUGCCUGCAUGAUGCUAUCACCUUAUAUAUAUUCUCUUCCAAAACCCCCAUCUUCAUCAACCCCAACAUUAUCUUCAUUAUCAACAUGGUUUAGAAGAAAAUAUUUUUUCCAGAAAAUCUUUCCAGAUAAUUAUAAAUACAAAGUGAAAUUAAUUAGAAUUAUUUUGAAUAUUUUAACCUAGAUUUCCAUAUAUUUUUGAAUAUUAAUUAGAGAGGAGCAACAUCCAUGACCAGCAUAGGCCACCAAAUGUUAAUGACAGUUAAUACAGUCUUCAUUAAAUGGAAAGACUGAGGUUAAUAUACAAUUAAAAAAGGCCCUCUCAUAAUAGCAAGAUCACUAAGGUUAAUAUUCACUGAAUAUAGGUUUUCACUUAGUGGUGAGAUCAGAGAAGUUAAUAUUCAGUUCAUAGAUCAUUUUUGAUGGAUUUAUUGAGGUUAUGCAUUUGGUCUUUCAAGGAGAGGAUCUAAGGUGGUGGGGGGAGGUAAAUAAUAAUGAAUUUAAGAGAGAAUGGGUAAAUUUUAUGAAUUUAGGUGAAGGAGGGUAAAUUAUAAUGAAUUUAGAUGGAGGUGGGUAAAUUAUAAUAAAUUUAGGAUAGAUGAGAAAAUUAUAAUGAAACUAAGUAGAAGUGGGUAAAUUUUAAUUAAUUUAGUUGGAGGUGGGUAAAUUAUAAUGAAUUUGAUUGGGGUGAAUAAGUUUUAAUGAAUUUUGGUGGAGAUGAGUAAAUUAUGAUAUAUUUAAGGAAGGUGGAAAAAUUAUAAUGAAGUGGAGGAGGGUAAAUUUUAAUCAAUUUGGGUGGAGGUGAGUAAGUUAUAAUAAAUUUAGAUAGAGGUGGGGAAGUUAUAAUGAAUUUACUUGAGGUGGGUAAAUAAUGAUAAAUUUAAAUACAAGUAGAUAAAUUAUAAUGAAUUUAGGUGGAGAUGGGUAAAUUAUAAUGAAUUUAGGUGUGGGACAUAAAUAUAAGGAAUUUAAGUAGAGGUGGAUAAAUUAUGACAAAUUUAGAUAGAGGUGGGUAAACUAUAGUGACUUUAGAAGAGGAUAGGCAAAUUAUAAUGAUUUUAGGUGCAGACUGGUAAACUUAACCUAGUUGGAGGUGAAUUUGAGUAGAGGUGGCUAAAUUGUAGUGAAUUUAGGUGGGGAUAGAUAAAUUAAAAUGAAUUUGUUGGAGAUGGGUAAAUUUUAAGGAAUUUAACUGGAGAUGAUUAAAUUAUAAUGAAUUCAGAGGAGGAUGGGUAAAUUUAAGAAAUUUAGAAGGGUGGGUAACUUAUAAUAAAUUUAGGUGAAGGUAGGUAAAUUAUAUUGAAUUUGGAUGAAGGUGGGUAAAUUGUAAUGAAUUUAGGUGGAGAUUAUGAAAUUAUAAUAGAUUUAGUUGGAGGUAAAUGAUGAUGAAUUUAGCAGAAGUUAUGUAAAUCAUAAUGAAUUUAGGUGGAGGUGGGUAAAUUAUAAUGAAUUUAGGCAUUUGAAAUAAAUUAUAAUGGAAGUCAGUGAAGAUGGAUAAAUCAUGAUGAAUUUAGGUGGAAGUGAGUAAAUUUAAUAAACUUAGUUGAAGGUGGGUAAAUUACGAUGGAUUUGAGUAGAGGUGGGUAAAUUAUAGUGCAUUUAGUGAAGGGUUGGUAAAUUAUAAUUAUUUUAGGUGAAGGUGGGUGGACUUAAUGAAUUUAGUUGGAGGUGGAUAAAUUAUAAUGAAUUUGAGUAGAGGUGGCUAAAUUAUUGUGCAUUUAGGUGGAGGAUAUAAAUUAUAGAAAAUUUAGGUGGACAUGGGUAAAUUACAAUUGUUAGAGGUGGGUAAAUUUUAACGAAUUUAGAGCAAGGUUGGUAAAUUUAAUGAAUUUUGAAGGGUUGGUAGAUAAUAAUAAAUUUGGAUGCAGGAGUAAUAAAUUUUGUUGGAGGUAGGUAAAUUUUAAUGAAUUUAGAUGGGUAUUUUGCAAUGAAUUUAAAGGAUGAAGCUAGGUUAUAAUGAAUUUAGUUGUAGAUGGAUAAAUUGUGAUGAAUUUAAUUAAGAUUGGGUAAAUCAUAACGAAUUUAGGGAGAGGUGAACAAAUUAUAAGGAAUUUAGGUGGAGGUAUCAUGCAGCUUGCUGUUUCAGUUAAGUAGAGGUUGUGGUAGAAGAUGUAGGAGAAGCCUAAAACUGGUUGUAGUGUUUUGACAAGUGCAUCUGUGAAGUAAUCUUGGAUGUUUCUGUUCAUAAAAUUUUUAAACAUCUACAAAUAUGAGUCAGACUUAAUUUUCUUAGAGAAUCAGAUACUGAUCAGUGCUGAAACUCUCCCUGAUACCAUCAUGUUAGGAAUGCUUGUUUGCAUAUGAGUUCAAGGAAGAUAUUGCGUAACUUUUCAAGAGAUUUUGAAUGUUCCAGAAAAAUAUUUGAAAUGUUGUAUGUUGUCUUUAUAGCAAACCUUGAAAUAGGAUGAAACCAUUCUGGUUGUAAAGAAGAGCCAAUUUUUUAUAUAUAUAUAUAUAUAUAUAUAUAUAUAUAUCCAUCAUCAUCAUCAUUUGACGUCCAUUGUCCAUGCUGGCAUGGGUUGGACAGUUUGACCAGAGCUGGUAAGCAGAGGGGCUGCGCCAGACUCCAGUUUGAUUUGGCAUGGUUUCUACUGCUGGAUACCCUUCCUAAUGCCAACCACUCAUAGAGUGUAAUGGGUGCUCUUACAUGCAACUGGCACCGGUGCCAGUUGCAUGACACUAGUAUCUGCCACAACUACAAUUUCACUUGGCUUGAUGGGGUUUCUUCUCAAGCACUGCAUACUGCCAAAAGUCUCAGUCAUUUGUCAUCGUCUCUGUGAGGCCCAAUACUCAAAAGGUGUUUAUAUAUAUAUAUAUAUAUAUAUAUAUAUAUAUAUAUAUAUAUAUAUAUAUAUAUAUAUAUAUAUAUAUAUAUAUGUAUGUAUGUAUAAGGUGUGUUAUGAGAAUCUAUAGAACAAGUAUUCUAUAGAAACUCAACAAACUGUUAAAGAUAGAGAAGAGAAGAUGUUAAAAAUUUGAAAAGAAUUUUAUCCAUGCAUACAAUCGUUUCAAACAGCAAUAUUAACAUGUAAAUAAAAUGGUAGAAAAUUAGAAAUUGAUUUAAUUAAAAUUAAAUUAAUUACAUAUUAGUGUUCUCUUCAGUGCAAAAAAAGAAUACAUGAAAAAAAUAAUAUUAUUAUUGUUACAGAAGACUUGAUGGAGUGAGUAUCACAUAACAUAUUCAGAUAUACAUAUUAUCCUAAUGAAAGAUUAAGACCAUGCUAAGAUAGUGUUGUUGAGUCUAGUUGUGUAUGAACUAAAACUGAUGUGGCUAACAGUUAUUUGAAAAUAUUAGUGAAAGAUGUUUAAGAAACAUUUGCUCUGUAUGAAAAUAAGUAAUUAAGUGAUAUACACUCCAUAUAAAGCAUUUAUCAUAAGCAGUAAAAUAUAAUAUAUAUGAGCGUCCAAUGGAACAGCAUAGCUAUAUUUAAUUUAAUAUUUGAUUUGACAGUUAUAAGUGAUAUAUAAGAAAUAUUAAGUAUGGUGUAUAUUUAAAGAAAUUAUUUAAAGAAAUUAUUUAAAGAAAGAGAAUUUCUUGUGUGUGAAUAAGAAAUAGAAAGUAGUUAAUAUAGUUUUAUUUAAGCUACUUGAAUUCCAAACGAAAAAAGAUAUGGAGUUGUGAGGGAGUACUUAAUAGUUUUAUAUAAUGGGAAAAAAUCUUUUUAGUGUAAAAACUUAUAUUCAUUUGUGUGAAAUAAAUAUAAGAUAAAGAAAUAAAGAUAGAAGAAUAGUUGUUAAUGUUACAGAAUUAAGAAAGAAAAUACUUGCUAUGGCUAAGAAUACUGAAAAAAAAAACGUUCAAUGAUAAUGAAGUAUUUUUGAGAGGUUGAGAGAAAAAAAAUAACAAUGUAGUGGAGAUAAGGCUGAGACAAAGUCGUAAAAAUGUUUUUGAAAUAAGUUGUACUUUUCUAUAUUUUGUAGCGUGAUUAUGUUUUUGUAUGAAUAAUAAAAAUUACAAUAUGAGUUGAAAUCUAGCUUGGCAUAAAGGGGGUGAGAAGUCUAUAGUAAUAUUUUAUAAAUAAUUGUCUAACUUAGAUAAUGGUAAAUGUGAAUAUAAGAAAAAAAAUUAUUUAUUUAUUUAUGGAGUAAUAGGUGCGAAAAUAUGUCUAUUAAAAAUACGAGAAGUAAUUCAUAUAUUAAAAUUCCUAUCAAAGAAAAGAAUAUUAGUUUAUAUAUAAAGUUAAUCCAAACAAGAAAACACAGAAAAAAAGAGAAAAAAACACAGCAAUGCAGGACGUGGAACAAUUAAAGUAUUAUUGACGCUCAGGAAAGAAGGGAAGGAGGGUUUAACGUUUCGAGCGGAGCUCUUCGUCGGAAACAAGGAGAAGGAAAUAUCCCAAGGAGGGAAGACAGAGGAGAAAAUAUUUGAGCUGGUGGUGCUUAAGAGAUCACAUGUUGAAAGAACAGUUUAUAUAUAUAUAUAAAUAGUUUAUAUAUAUAUAUAUAUAUAUAUAUAUAUAUUGCAUACUGAUACAUUUACAGGGAACAAGUCUACGAGAAAAAGUGUAUGUGGUACUACGUAUUCUAGCAAUAUUUAAUUUAUUCUAUUUUAAAUUGAGGGUAGAUGUGGCAGAUAGGACACCGUACGAUGAUAAUGAACAUACUUAUAAUGGUGUAAAGACAUGGACAAAAAUAAUAUAUAGGUAUCAUUAUAAAUUAGCUAUAGACUCUUUCACUUUCUUAUCACCAUCCUUAAAUGUACUUAACACAUGCACAUACAUUUAUGCUUAUACACACACAUACAUUUUGUUCUCAUGACGGUCUGUCUAUUAUUCUGUAUAUAUGAUGCAUACACAAACACAAACACACACACACACAUAUACGACAGGGUUCCUUUCUCAGUUCACAUCUACCAAAUCCACUCAGAAGGCUUUGGUCGGCCUGAGGUAUAGCAGAAGAUGCUUACCAAGGGUGCCUCACAGUGGGACUGAACCCAGAACCAUGUAGUUGGGAAGCAAGCUUCAUACCACAUAGCCAUGCCUCUAUAUAUAUAUAUAUAUAUAUAUAUAUAUAAAAUAUUAUUAGAGACAAAACCACUAUUUUGCAAAACAAACAAGGAAAGACUUAAUCAAUACAUAAAAUUUUAAUAAAUAUAUAUAUAUAUAUAUAUAUACAAGGGGGGUACCCAAAAGAAACCAGAACUUUGCAAUAUUGUUUUAUUCACUUUGUUUAACAUGUUUACACUUUUUUCAGCUUCAAAAUAUUCUCCAUUUGAAGCAAUGCAAUUCUCCAGGUGCAUUUUCCACUAUUUGAAGCAUUACCGAAACUCAUGUGAAGUGAUGCCUUUUAACACCUCCAUCGUUUUUUGUUUCACCACUUCCACAUCUGCAAAUUCCAUAGCACCUGCUUUCGUCACCAGUGAUGACUCCCGAAAUAAGGUCCGGAUCAACUUUCAACUGUUCUUUCAGUUCAUGACAAGCAUUCAGUUGUGACUGCUUUUGAUCUUCUUUGAGCAAGCAAAGCACAAAUUUUGCUAUAACUCUUUUUAUUCACAAUUCCUUGCUCAAAAUUCAUUGGCUGGAGUUCCAGGACACACCAGUCAUAUUUAUUGAUAUGUUUAUGGCAGCAUCCUUGUAAACUGUUUGAAGCAUGACAGCUGUUCCAGUUGCCAUUUUCCCCAGUGGUAAAAAGAAUUUCAUAAUGUUUUCAUUCAUUCAGGAAGUCGAUGGUCAUCCUAAAUGAGGUUGGUCUUCAACCACCAAUCACCAUUCUAAAGCGUGCAAACCACUCAUAAACUUGUUUUACUUAUAGCAGCAUCCUAGAAAGCUGUUUGAAGCAUGACAACUGUUUCAGCUACUAAGAUCUGUGCAUGCAUAUGUAUGUGUGUAUGAGUGUGUAUAUGUAUGUAUGUAUGAGUGUGUAUAUAUAUGUAUGGUACCCCAGUGGUAAACAGAAUUUCACACAAGCAUGCUGUUCUUUCAUUUCAGCCAUCACAAAAUACAACAAACAGGGGAGAAGCACUGCAAAACAAAGAUGCACCAUGUGGUCAUACGAUUUCACCAAAUGACACCAGUCAACAGACAGAUGCAUGAGGGUCACAUCAAGUGGCU